CUUUCCCUACGGGGGGCAGCAGUGAGGAAUAUUGGUCAAUGGUCGGGAGACUGAACCAGCCAAGCCGCGUGAGGGAGGAAGGUACAGAGUAUCGUAAACCUCUUUUGUCAGGGAACAAAGGCGGGGACGUGUCCCCGGAUGAGUGUACCUGAAGAAAAGGCAUCGGCUAACUCCGUGCCAGCAGCCGCGGUAAUACGGAGGAUGCGAGCGUUAUCCGGAUUUAUUGGGUUUAAAGGGUACGCAGGCGGUCUGUUAAGUCAGCGGUCAAAGCCCAGGGCUCAACCCCGGCCCGGCGCUGAAACUGG
rnacentral:rRNA from 1 species